rnacentral:misc_RNA from 1 species
GAUGAAGAACGUAGCGAAAUGCGAUAAGUAGUGUGAAUUGCAGAAUUCAGUGAAUCAUCGAAUCUUUGAACGCACAUUGCGCCCGCCAGCACUCUGGCGGGCAUGCCUGUCCGAGCGUCAUUUACCACCCUCGGGCCCCCUUGGGGGCCCGGUGCUGGGGGCACGGCCCAGGCCGCCCCCGAAAUGCAGUGGCGACCCCGCCGCGUCCUCCCCUGCGCAGUAGCACAAUCUCGCACCGGAAGCGCGGAGGCGGUCACGCCUGGAAACGCCCCAACUCAACGCAGUUGACCUCGGAUCAGGUAGGAGUACCCGCUGAACUUAAGCAUAUCAAUAAGCGGAGGA